rnacentral:rRNA from 1 species
GAUGAACGCUGGCGGCGUGCCUAAUACAUGCAAGUCGAGCGAACGGACGAGAAGCUUGCUUCCCUGAUGUUAGCGGCGGACGGGUGAGUAACACGUGGAUAACCUACCUAUAAGACUGGGAUAACUUCGGGAAACCGGAGCUAAUACCGGAUAAUAUUUUGAACCGCAUGGUUCAAAAGUGAAAGACGGUCUUGCUGUCACUUAUAGAUGGAUCCGCGCUGCAUUAGCUAGUUGGUAAGGUAACGGCUUACCAAGGCAACGAUGCAUAGCCGACCUGAGAGGGUGAUCGGCCACACUGGAACUGAGACACGGUCCAGACUCCUACGGGAGGCAGCAGUAGGGAAUCUUCCGCAAUGGGCGAAAGCCUGACGCAGCAACGCCGCGUGAGUGAUGAAGGUCUUCGGAUCGUAAAACUCUGUUAUUAGGGAAGAACAUAUGUGUAAGUAACUGUGCACAUCAUGACGGUACCUAAUCAGAAAGCCACGGCUAACUACGUG